CGUAGGGUGCAAGCGUUAAUCGGAAUUACUGGGCGUAAAGCGUGCGCAGGCGGUGAUGUAAGACAGAUGUGAAAUCCCCGGGCUCAACCUGGGAACUGCAUUUGUGACUGCAUCGCUGGAGUACGGCAGAGGGGGAUGGAAUUCCGCGUGUAGCAGUGAAAUGCGUAGAUAUGCGGAGGAACACCGAUGGCGAAGGCAAUCCCCUGGGCCUGUACUGACGCUCAUGCACGAAAGCGUGGGGAGCAAACAGGAUUAGAUACCCUGGUAGUCCACGCCCUAAACGAUGUCAACUGGUUGUUGGGUCUUCACUGACUCAGUAACGAAGCUAACGCGUGAAGUUGACCGCCUGGGGAGUACGGCCGCAAGGUUG
rnacentral:rRNA from 1 species